GGACGCGUGGCCGAGCGGACGAAGGUACGCGGCUUUUAACCGCGUGGGCGAAAGCCCCGUCGCAGGUUCGAAUCCUGCCGCGUCCACCA
rnacentral:tRNA from 1 species